rnacentral:rRNA from 1 species
AGUGAACGCUGGCGGUAGGCCUAACACUUGCAAGUCGAACGGCAGCACAGUAAGAGCUUGCUCUUACGGGUGGCGAGUGGCGGACGGGUGAGGAAUACAUCGGAAUCUACUUUUUCGUGGGGGAUAACGUAGGGAAACUUACGCUAAUACCGCAUACGACCUACGGGUGAAAGCAGGGGAUCUUCGGACCUUGCGCGAUUGAAUGAGCCGAUGUCGGAUUAGCUAGUUGGCGGGGUAAAGGCCCACCAAGGCGACGAUCCGUAGCUGGUCUGAGAGGAUGAUCAGCCACACUGGAACUGAGACACGGUCCAGACUCCUAUGGGAGGCAGCAGUGGGGAAUAUUGGACAAUGGGCGCAAGCCUGAUCCAGCCAUACCGCGUGGGUGAAGAAGGCCUUCGGGUUGUAAAGCCCUUUUGUUGGGAAAGAAAAGCAGCAGGUUAAUACCCCGCUGUUCUGACGGUACCCAAAGAAUAAGCACCGGCUAACUUCGUG